AGUCUUAUAUUCAAUAAUGAUUAAAAAUUGCAAAUUUUUAGGUGAGUAAUUUCUAAGGCUU
rnacentral:tRNA from 1 species